UCCACAGCAGCCUAAUUCCAUUUCCAAGAUUUUGAACCUGCUGAUUUGGCCAAUUAGUAGCCAAAUCCACAGGCAUCAGCUUACAACCAAACAGAUAAAAAAACACUAUAAAAGGAUUUAGAUAAAAGGAGAAGUUGUCUACUCAAACAAAGGUAAGAGAACUGACUUCAAAACCUCACAAUCAGUCCCAAUGACUAGAAGUUCUAGCUAUGGACAUAAACAAAGCUAAGUUUGCAAAACUAAAACUCAUAAGGUAAUCAGAUACAGACUAGCUUGUUCAUGUUCAAAGUGUAAACAUACAUAUUCAAGGUUUAGGUACAUUCAUAUCAUUAUAGGCUAAAUACUAUCAUGAAAAGGACAUUCAUUUUCACAAACACCAUUCAUAUUUCAUAACAACAUUACAUGAAGAAGGUAAAGUUCAGUACCUUGCACAACAACAACUAAAAGGUGCAAAAAGCUGGCUGAAACGUUAAACAAAAUGGAGCAGCAAUAGGACAGGAGCAACAGCAACCAAAAACUCCAAAAUUUCAGACCCAAGACCAGCCACUUGAACCCAGAAAUAACUAUCUAAAUAACCCACGAAAAAUCUCUAUUUCAAACCAUUUUCAACUUGUGAACCAAAAGAGAAAAAAUUUGGAAAUCUUUCUGAGGUUUUCUAAAGUCUGAAAAAAACACUUUUUGCAGAGAAUAAUGUUUAUGAGUGUUGAUGAUUGCUAAAGAUCCUCCUUAUUGUGUGAGGGAAUAUUUUCUUUUAUAGAGUGCACAAAAAAGCAUCCAAGAAAGAAUAUUCUGACCUAGUACAACAUAUUUUUACAAUUAUACUGUCUUUUUUCCUUAUCCAAAACCAGUAUUUGCUAAGGAUAAGGACAGUUGUCCUAAGUUCUAGAAUUUUCUGAUUUUAGCCUAAGUAAAAAUCCAAUUUUACCCUUUAAGUUACUACUUAUUUUAGUUCUAAUCUAAAUUUUCAGGUUCAAUUGAGUCUCUAAAGUUUCUAUCUGUGAGCAAAUUAGAACAAACAAAGACAAAGCUAAAAAGGGUUGGAAAUUUGGAUCAAAAUGCCUAAGAAGGUCAAACGGGUGAAGUCCAAACUUAAUAGAAGGAAAUGCUUAAUUGAUUAAAACCAAAUUAGAACUGAAACUAACAACUAACGCAUUUAAACAGUAAUCAAACAAAACCAGAAAUACAAAUUCAAGGAAACAAACUAGAAUUCAAACUAUAUCAAUUUGCAAAACUUAAACAACUGAAACAACAAAAUCUAAAUAAUUGUUAAUCCUUUUAUAAUAAGCCAUUAGGCCAGUUUAGGAAAACAGAGCAAUCAAUUGACAUGUUGAAUCUUAGAGGUUGAAACCUAAGCUAACUAGAAACAUGAUUUUCUCUUCUUCUUUUUUUAAUCUAACAAACAAAACAAGCAUCAAACAAAGUUAAGGGUCUGUAAAUUCAAAGAAGGCAGGUACAAAAUAAAACAUGCAGUCAUAACAAGAAUAAUUAAACAUGCAAAAAAGAACCAAAAUAAAAACCAAACAAUCACAAGAAAAGAAAAGAAUUUACCGGAGUUUAUUUCAAAACUGGGUCAAUUCACGAACUCGUCCAAACUCUUUGAAGUGUAAAUAAACUUGACUACCAUUAAUCAACUGUUCUUAACAAGAACAGUCGACUAAUGGAGGUUUUAAGUUCACUUGACCAAACUUUGAUCGAAAAAUCAGAAAGGGGAAAUAUUAGGGCUCAAUGAAUAUGAGAUUUAAGAUUCGUGGAGUUUGGCUGGGAUUUUUGGGAAAUCAAUGGUGAGACAGUGGUGAGGGAAGGAUGAGGACUAUGGGGCAUGAUUUUGGGAUCAUUUGAGUGAUUUAGGGUUUUUGGGCCUACUUUCGAUUUAAGAUUCGAGCAUAUCGGCAGGGAUUCGAGGCAAGCUAAUUGGGCUGGUU
rnacentral:lncRNA from 1 species